rnacentral:snRNA from 1 species
GUGCUUGCUUGGGCAAUACAUAUACUAAAAUAGGAACGAUAUAAAGAUUGGCAUGACCCUCGCACAAGGAUGACA